UCGGAACGGUAGCACAGAGAGCUUGCUCUCGGGUGACGAGUGGCGGACGGGUGAUUAUUGUCUGGGAAACUGCCUGAUGGAGGGGGAUAACUACUGGAAACGGUAGCUAAUACCGCAUAACGUCGCAAGACCAAAGAGGGGGACCUUCGGGCCUCUUGCCAUCAGAUGUGCCCAGAUGGGAUUAGCUAGUAGGUGGGGUAACGGCUCACCUAGGCUACGAUCCCUAGCUGGUCUGAGAGGAUGACCAGCCACACUGGAACUGAGACACGGUCCAGACUCCUACGGGAGGCAGCAGUGGGGAAUAUUGCACAAUGGGCGCAAGCCUGAUGCAGCCAUGCCGCGUGUAUGAAGAAGGCCUUCGGGUUGUAAAGUACUUUCAGCGGGGAGGAAGGAGAUGAGGUUAAUAACCUUGUCGAUUGACGUUACCCGCAAAAGAAGCACCGGCUAACUCCGUGCCAGCAGCCGCGGUAAUACGGAGGGUGCAAGCGUUAAUCGGAAUUACUGGGCGUAAAGCGCACGCAGGCGGGCUGUCAAGUCGGAUGUGAAAUCCCCGGGCUCAACCUGGGAACUGCAUUCGAAACUGGCAGGCUGGAGUCUUGUAGAGGGGGGUAGAAUUCCAGGUGUAGCGGUGAAAUGCGUAGAGAUCUGGAGGAAUACCGGUGGCGAAGGCGGCCCCCUGGACAAAGACUGACGCUCACGUGCGAAAGCGUGGGGGAGCAAACAGGAUUAGAUACCCUGGUAGUCCACGCUGUAAACGAUGUCGACUUGGAGGUUGUUCCCUUGAGGAGUGGCUUCCGGAGCUAACGCGUUAAGUCGACCGCCUGGGGGAGUACGG
rnacentral:rRNA from 1 species